GAUACCAAGACUGAGCAUCAGUGUCAUCUGCUUCUAAAGAUUUAGUCAGAUAUUGUAUAGCAAGAUCCUGGUUAGUAAACGAAGAUGACUGUUGAUGGCACAGCCAUCCGAGUUGCUGUAGAACCUUGGCAUGAUUGGGAGUUUCAGCUAAGACACGUUCAUACGCUUCCUUGGCUAAUUUAUACUCUUUUCGUUGCUCGUAUACGUGACCAAUUUGGAAGUAUAUGUCCAAGACGGUUAAAGGCUUAGGGGGAUUAUCAAGGAUGUGACGAAAAAGCUCUAACGAUUGG